AGAGUUUGAUCCUGGCUCAGGACGAACGCUGGCGGCGUGCUUAACACAUGCAAGUCGAACGGAAAGGCCCUUCGGGGUACUCGAGUGGCGAACGGGUGAGUAACACGUGGGUGAUCUGCCCUGCACUUUGGGAUAAGCCUGGGAAACUGGGUCUAAUACCGAAUAGGACCGCGCGCUUCAUGGUGUGUGGUGGAAAGCUUUUGCGGUGUGGGAUGGGCCCGCGGCCUAUCAGCUUGUUGGUGGGGUAAUGGCCUACCAAGGCGACGACGGGUAGCCGGCCUGAGAGGGUGACCGGCCACACUGGGACUGAGAUACGGCCCAGACUCCUACGGGAGGCAGCAGUGGGGAAUAUUGCACAAUGGGCGCAAGCCUGAUGCAGCGACGCCGCGUGAGGGAUGACGGCCUUCGGGUUGUAAACCUCUUUCACCAGGGACGAGGCGCAAGUGACGGUACCUGGAGAAGAAGCACCGGCCAACUACGUGCCAGCAGCCGCGGUAAUACGUAGGGUGCGAGCGUUGUCCGGAAUUACUGGGCGUAAAGAGCUCGUAGGUGGUUUGUCGCGUUGUUCGUGAAAACUCACAGCUUAACUGUGGGCGUGCGGGCGAUACGGGCAGACUAGAGUACUGCAGGGGAGACUGGAAUUCCUGGUGUAGCGGUGGAAUGCGCAGAUAUCAGGAGGAACACCGGUGGCGAAGGCGGGUCUCUGGGCAGUAACUGACGCUGAGGAGCGAAAGCGUGGGGAGCGAACAGGAUUAGAUACCCUGGUAGUC
rnacentral:rRNA from 1 species